CGCCUAAAACAUGCAAGUCGAGUGGGUUUAGACCCACGGCGAACGGCUGAGUAACACAUGGGUACCUACCUCGAACUCAGGGAUAUCCCGCCGAAAGGCGGAGUAAUACCGGAUAGUCCCGCAAGGGUAAAGAUUUAUCGGUUCGAGAGGGGCCUGUGCCCUAUCAGUUAGUUGGUAAGGUAACGGCUUACCAAGACUAUGACGGGUAACUGGUCUGAGAGGACGGCCAGUCAGAAUGGAACUGAGACACGGUCCAUACUCCUACGGGAGGCAGCAGUUAGGAAUCCUCCGCAAUGGGCGAAAGCCUGACGGAGCGACACCGCGUGGUGGAUGAAGGCCUUUACGGUCGUAAACACC
rnacentral:rRNA from 1 species